rnacentral:misc_RNA from 1 species
AAGUCGUAACAAGGUUUCCGUAGGUGAACCUGCGGAAGGAUCAUUACCGUAGGGGCGUAACACCCCCUUCGAGAUAGCACCCUUGAUUUUCGAGCACCUUCUGUUUCUUCGGCGGGCCCGCCCGCCGGUGGACAACCUCAAACCCUUUAUUGCAAUAGCAGUACGCUCUGAUAAACAAAACAAAUAAUCAAAACUUUCAACAACGGAUCUCUUGGUUCUG